UGGGGAAUAUUGCACAAUGGGCGCAAGCCUGAUGCAGCCAUGCCGCGUGUAUGAAGAAGGCCUUCGGGUUGUAAAGUACUUUCAGCGGGGAGGAAGGUGUUGUGGUUAAUAACCACAGCAAUUGACGUUACCCGCAGAAGAAGCACCGGCUAACUCCGUGCCAGCAGCCGCGGUAAUACGGAGGGGGCAAGCGUUAAUCGGAAUUACUGGGCGUAAAGCGCACGCAGGCGGUCUGUCAAGUCGGAUGUGAAAUCCCCGGGCUCAACCUGGGAACUGCAUCCGAAACUGGCAGGCUUGAGUCUUGUAGAGGGGGGUAGAAUUCCAGGUGUAGCGGUGAAAUGCGUAGAGAUCUGGAGGAAUACCGGUGGCGAAGGUGGCCCCCUGGACAAAGACUGACGCUCAGGUGCGAAAGCGUGGGGAGCAAACA
rnacentral:rRNA from 1 species